rnacentral:lncRNA from 1 species
UCCUUAAUUAAGUCAGACCCACUAUUCACAAGCAGGUGCAAAGCCAUCAUUGGGUCUCUCACCUAACAGUUAUUGGGUCCAACCCCAUCUUUAUCUUGGAGCAACUCUUUUACUAAUCAGUGGUUGCGUGUUCUCAAUGCAACUAAACCAUUGUGAUCAGCUGUGAACAAUCAACGCCGAUAGCAUGCCCACACAUCUAAAACGAUGAAAGACUAUUGGAUUUAAUAUUUAUGGAG